CAUGGAGAAGUGGGGUACAGAGAGUAAAACACAGACCUUGUGGCCCAAGCCCACAAGUUAGGGCAAUCUCAAUUGACACGUUUUUCAUGUUUUUGUUCAAAAUUUGUCUUUUGCUCUCAAACAUGGCUUUUCCAUCGAAAGUGGCUCCGCCACGCCGGAGGCGACAUAAUUGGUACAAACCAAAAAAACUCACCACCAAAUUAAGCCUCUUAACGCCCUCUCUCUCAUUCUGACCUUUAAUCUUCCUAAAACUCUACCAGCUUCUCAAAUCGAGACAAAAACACUAAGAACCCUAAAUAUUGAAUUUGGAAUUAAACGCAGUUGAGGAGGAAUCAAAGCCUAAUUCCUUAGGGCUUUGAUUCCUCGUGCGUCAAGCUACAUAGUGGUAACUAGGUAGAAGCGAACAAAUGUGGAAUGACUUACCUAUGAAGAGGAUAAAUUCCUCGGUGAGUGUUAAAUUCGAAGGUGCAAACGAAGAAGAAGACGAAGGGGUGAUGAGAUGGAGUCAUCUUGGCAUGAUAUGUAGAUUUGGCAAGGCAUGAAUCAAGGUGUUUUCAUGAAGAUACCUUAAAGACUUGAAGAUCUAUGAAGGAUGUUGGACCAAAAAAGAGAUGGCUUAGGAAUGGAAAACAAGGAGGAUUAGGGUUCAAAAUAAGUAGUUGACUUUGGUCAACUGUUUGACCAAAAAGUCAAUAGUUGACCAAAAGUUAACCUAGGCCAGAAAUAGGGUUUUCUUGGUGUAACUUGAAAUGGAUGUUUAAAAUGUAAAUUUGACGGUUUGUAAUGAGAAAAAGGCUUUUUAAAGUGAA